AGCGAACGCUGGCGGCAGGCCUAACACAUGCAAGUCGAACGAACUCUUCGGAGUUAGUGGCGGACGGGUGAGUAACACGUGGGAACGUGCCUUUAGGUUCGGAAUAACUCAGGGAAACUUGUGCUGAUACCGAAUGUGCCCUUCGGGGGAAAGAUUUAUCGCCUUUAGAGCGGCCCGCGUCUGAUUAGCUUGUUGGUGGGGUAAUGGCCCACCAAGGCGACGAUCAGUAGCUGGUCUGAGAGGACGACCAGCCACAUUGAGACUGAGACACGGCCCAAACUCCUGCGGGAGGCAGCAGUGGGGAAUCUUGCGCAAUGGGCGAAAGCCUGACGCAGCCAUGCCGCGUGGAUGAUGAAGGUCUUAGGAUUGUAAAAUCCUUUCACCGGUGAAGAUAAUGACGGUAGCCGGAGAAGAAGCCCCGGCUAACUUCGUGCCAGCCGCCGCCGUAAAAC
rnacentral:rRNA from 1 species